UUUCAAUUUAACGAAUCGUACAUGUUCAUCAUCAGAAGAUACAAGUUAAUUGUUGAACUUGUUCCCCAACAAAUGAAAUUUAAGGCAAACUUCAUAAAAACAAGGCGACCUAUCUUCAAGGCGGAAAUAGGACCCCCAAAACCAACCAAGAUUAUAUCACGUCAAAGUUACACCAACCUUGCCAAUCUUGAGAACUCGACUUGAACCUAUUCCUAUACCAAAGAAAGCCCAAUGCCUUAACAUCUCAAACAAUCUCAGCUGCAUAUGCGGAUUUGCUUCUUGGUCCGAGACCUGGCCAUAUGCGAAUGAAGCUCAGCAACAUCCUUAAUCGAAAAAAGUAAAGAUAGGAGGUAGACCACACCAAGAAGCAAUCCCUUGCCACACACCAACUGAAAGGGCACACGCCGAAAAAACAUGGUCUGUAGUCUCUUGACCUUCAUCACAAAAAUUGCACACAUUAUUUUCCACAUUAAUGUUCCUCCUAUGAAGCGCCACUUUUGUCAGGAUCCUAUCCAAAAGAUCUCUCCACAUAAAAAUGUUGCAUUUAAUGGGAAGCCAAAUACACCAAUUAAUGAUCGGGCCAACAUCACAUAUGCUACCACUUGAGAGCCAUUUCUUGGCCGCACCCACAAUGAACACAUUUGACAUCCCAUCCUGCCAUUCUCACCUAUCAUCCGCUAACAAAAGACGAACACAUGUCAAUAACUGAUGGCAAUCCACCACAACUCUCUUAUCCUCCUCCGAUUCCGGGUAAUUAGACCACUCCCAACUGACCGGUCCAUAAACGUUAAGUCUGUAGGCCACCACACACCAUUUAUUCUUUUCUAUACGAAAUAACGAAGGGAAAAGAAUUUUGAGGGGAACCGAGGAUACCCAAGCAUCACUCCAGAACCGAGUUUUUGACCCGUUACCCACAUAUCCCCUCAACAUACGUUAAAGUCGACACCUUCAAUCUUUAAUUUGUGCCCAAAUGUAACAAUUUUACUCCAAGUGCCAGAGAUACAAUUGUUAUACAAUUGUUGCAUGGAAAGGAAUACCAUCUUCUUCUCGAGCCAUGAAUAGCAUCGAUCGUUCUUCUCCAUAGCGCCUCACUCUCAUUUCGAUAUCUCCACAACCACUUAAGAAUCAAAGCAUUUUUACACAACUCUAAAAUAGUAAGACCUAAACCACCAUCCCUCUUCAGACGCGCUACUUUAUCCCAAGCCACCCAAUAUAUUUUAUCAACUUCCACACAAAUCCCCCCCCCACCCAAAAAAAAAUCUUUUUAUCAACCUAACAUCUGAUUAUUGGUUUCCUCAAUUGAAUAUCUCUUUUUUUCUUCAAAGUUGUUUUUCUAUAUAAUGAUUCAUCAACCAAGUUGAUGUUAUCAAUUAGUUCAUAAUUUACAUCUUUUUUGUAUGAGAGGCCAUAAAAUGUAUGAUAAACACUUAAUUAAAAAAAGGUCUUUGAUGAGCAACAGAGGAAAUCCUAAAAUUCAAGUGGUAGCCUGCGUUGGAUAGCACCCUUUCAUUGAUACAUGGAUAAGUUGGUUGGAGAUGUUGGGCUUUUUGUCCAGGGGUUGAAGUUGAAUACACGUUUGAAGAAAUAAAAUCUUAGAGAGCAGAACAAGGACGAAGGAAAUAAGAACACUUGGAUUUUUUUGGUUCACACCCGGAACAAGAAGUAGGUUGAAUCAGGUUUGAGUUAUCUGAUGAUAUUUGUUAAGUAGGUUGAAAUACUGGUGCACAAAAAAGGGUACCUACCCAAAAUCGCACCUGGGAAAAAAAACAGAAUCGGUUGUAUUUGUACCUAUGUAUUAUAUACUGUAUGGUGGUGGCAACAACUACAUAAAAGUUAAAACCCUCAUGGCAGAAUACAUCUUUGCAACGAACCUGGAUACUUUGCGUAACAUGAUAUCUGAAGAUUUUGACAAAGUUAUCUACAUCAAUAGACACAAGUUGAAUGAUGAGCCAUAAAAGGUAAGUUAAACACUUACUUUCAAAACACUAAGCCCAUGAUGAGCAAGACUAGGAAUCCUGAAGUUCAAAUGGUAGGAUGACCGGUCAGGGCCCUUCCAAUUAGGACAUGUAUAAGUUGGCUGUAGAAUUCGUAUGUGUAAUGUUUCAGAACCGAACCGGACAUUGCACCGUUCUCCUUACUGGUCUAGCGGUCUCCUUUUGGGUUAUCUAAUGAUAUCUAUUAAGUAGGUUGAAAUAGUGGUGCACAAAAAGAGCGGUGCCCCUCCUCGUUCAUGUGGCUGGAAGAACUCUUCAUAAAAUUAUAAUAUUGAAUUUAAAACGUUACUUGUUUAAAGCACCUUGUUAUAAACUCGCAACUAAAGAGAGGAAUAAGAAAAUGUUAUGUUUAUGAACAAAUGGAUUAACCUAUUUAGGUAGUCCUGAAAGAGUAAGCUUGCUUGUUUGUUGCCUUGUUGGCGAGGAGCGCCACACUGAUAGUGGAGCAUUUAAUAAUGUAAUGCCUCGCUUUUUGUAACUUUCCUUAUUUAGAAAGUUUGGUUGUAUUUCUAUGUAUGGAAACUGUAUUCUCUUGUAAUCGUAUUUCAUUUCCAAUCAUUGUAAUCCGA